ACAUGGCAGGUGGAGUCUGGAAGGAAGAGGAGCAGAUGCUGGGGUUUGGCUAGCUGUCUGCUUUUUAUUCUUCCAGGUACCCCCAGCCUGGGGAAUGGUGUCGGCCACUUUUAAGACGGCAUGGAAUGUUUGGACACCAGGGAAGAGGGAGAACUACCCAGAAGGCAGAGCUGACUGUGGGAGUUUGGAGGAAAGCUGUACUGGCCCAAGGGAGACUCAAAACCAUGGAGCUGCAGGCAGGCAUCUACUGUUGCUCCACAAGAAAGGAUAGCGAAAGAUGUAGUUUCCGAACUGAGGAUUAAACUCAAGACCGAGCACGUGCUAGGUCAGGCCACACACCCUUGCUUACUGGGUAGCUACGGUGACCUGCACAAGACCCUUACAAAAUCAAGCCAACAUGAACAACCAACAUUCCAUCAGGCUGCAUGGACUGCACUCAGUCUGUUAACAACAAAAGCAAAAACAAAAACAAAAACAAAAAAAGAAAAAGAAAGAAGAAGAGGCUGUGGGUGUG
rnacentral:lncRNA from 1 species